UUUCAAAAUAUUUCAGUUCCAUCUCCGAGAGAGAGAGAGAUGGGUCGGAAAAUAGACAUGAAAAAGAUAGAGGACGUAACAAAAUGUCAAGUAACAUUCUCAAAGCGUCGUAGCAGUCUGAUGAAGAAGGCCAAUGAAAUAGCAGUGUGCUGUGAUGUUGACGUUGCAUUUGUUGCAUUUUCCCCUUCGGGUCGUGUUAGCAAGUUUUGCAAUCAAAAGAGAAUUGAAGAUGUGCUCCAUCGGUAUGUCAAUCUACCAGCGGACAAGAGAUUAAAUCAUAUAAACAAUGUCCCGGAAAAAAUGGAGAAGUUAAAGCAGCUUAGACACAUAAAUGGUGAUACCAGCAAGCUACACUAUCUUGACAAACAGUUAAUCUCUCUCUCUAUCUCU